rnacentral:rRNA from 1 species
GCACCUAGACGGAAAGACCCCGUGAACCUUUACUACAGCUUGGCACUGAACAUUGACCCUACAUGUGUAGGAUAGGUGGGAGACUAUGAAACAUUGUCGCUAGAUGAUGUGGAGUCAACCUUGAAAUACCACCCUUGUAUGUUUGAUGUUCUAACAUUGCCCCCUAAUCGGGGGUAUGGACAGUGUCUGGUGGGUAGUUUGACUGGGGCGGUCUCCUCCCAAAUAGUAACGGAGGAGCACGAAGGUUAGCUAAUCACGGUCGGACAUCGUGAGGUUAGUGCAAUGGCAUAAGCCAGCUUGACUGCGAGACAGACACGUCGAGCAGGUACGAAAGUAGGUCAUAGUGAUCCGGUGGUUCUGAAUGGAAGGGCCAUCGCUCAACGGAUAAAAGGUACUCCGGGGAUAACAGGCUGAUACCGCCCAAGAGUUCAUAUCGACGGCGGUGUUUGGCACCUCGAUGUCGGCUCAUCACAUCCUGGGGCUGAAGCCGGUCCCAAGGGUAUGGCUGUUCGCCAUUUAAAGUGGUACGUGAGCUGGGUUUAAAACGUCGUGAGACAGUUUGGUCCCUAUCUUCCGUGGGCGCUGCAAGAUUGAGAGAGCCUGCUCCUAGUACGAGAGGACCGGAGUGGACG